GCCGGGCGCCGAGGGGCUGGGCGGUGUCCCGGGGAGCGCGCGCCCCCUCGAUGGCCUAGCCCGGGCCCGGGCCGGGUCAACCGCGCAUCUUCACUUUCCGCGGCCGGGGGCCCCGCUCGCGCGUCCGCCAGUAGCGGACGCCCCUCCCGCUGGCAGCGGAUUUCGGGGGCCGCCUGGGCCACCGCAGCAGAGGUCUUCCGUCCUCUGCGAGUAACGUGAUGCUCUAAACGCUGGACUGAGAAACCAAGGGAAAAAACGCUUGGGUCAAUUAAGGAGCGUCAGGCCGCUGCGCUGGGGAGGGCGCUUCCCCUCGCCGACCCGCGGGCAGAGGCGGCCGCUCCCCCGUGCGCGCUGGGCUGCGGGAGGUGCAGGUGAGCGCGAGCCGAGGAGCCCGAUCCCUGCGGAGACCCGACGCGCUGCGCGUGGCGAGGAAGCGUUGGCAAGCCUUGACCGUGGUUACUUCUGAGUCACUCUGGUCUCCGAGUCCCAACAGCCAUCAGGACGUGGGACCAAACUUUCGGGAGCCAACCAUGUUUCCCAUUCAACUCCACAUUCAGUGAUGUCACCUUGGAGCUCGAAAUUAGCCCUGGUGGAAACACGGACACCAUGAAAAUCAGCCAACACUACUACACAGCAGGACUACACUGCACUGGCCUGUCUGGGCGCCCCCAGAGAGGCCACUGAUAAACAUUCAUCAGCACAUCCCCGCCAGAGCUCCAGGAAAAAAUCUGUUCCCCUCCGCCAUAUUGCAAGACCAGCUCGAGACCCACCCACCCAGCCACCCCCCCGCCAUCCCAGUCCCAUCGCUGCUGCUUUGGGCAGGCACGAGGCUGGAUUGCUGGGGGGCGUGUAAAGGGCAGACGGUGUUUCUGACCUGGAGAGGCUUUCGUCAACAUGCUGACUGGUCAAGAGAAGUGAGAGGUGAUGCUGAGCCAAUCUGUGCUGAUGAGGAAAUGCGGGGAGGGAAGGAAAUCCAAGAGUUAUUUCAAAAUAGCAGACAAGAAAUGCUUAAAGCAAUGAUCUCGAAACUGGGGACUCUAACAUGGGGAAGCAAAAUCGUAAUUGCAAUAGACAAUUUGUGCUGUUCUAUGGUUUUGCAAAAUGUUACUGUAGGGGAAACCAGGUGAAGGGUAUGGGGGUCUCCUUGUACAUACUAUUGCUCCUUCCUCUGAAACUAUAUUAUUUCUAAAUAAAACAUUAGAAG